rnacentral:ncRNA from 2 species
GGUUGGCGGAUUUAUCCGUUUCAAGAAUUCGGCUUUUAGGGUGGAGAGCU